rnacentral:rRNA from 1 species
UACGUAGGGUGCAAGCGUUGUCCGGAAUUAUUGGGCGUAAAGAGCUCGUAGGCGGUCUGUCGCGUCUGCUGUGGAAUUUCGGGGCUCAACCCCGAACUUGCAGUGGGUACGGGCAGACUAGAGUGUGGUAGGGGAGACUGGAAUUCCUGGUGUAGCGGUGAAAUGCGCAGAUAUCAGGAGGAACACCGAUGGCGAAGGCAGGUCUCUGGGCCAUAACUGACGCUGAGAAGCGAAAGCAUGGGGAGCGAACAGG